CGAGUAUAAGCCAGACACCAGAAAAGAUUAACUUUUCUUUGCAUUAACUGUUCUGACAUCUGAGUACACUUGAAGUCUUGCAUGGAAAAGAUGAAAGAAUAGCAAGAAUUUUUAGCCUGUCAGGAAAUAGCUCUCAAAAGCACACAGUGGGUGCUCAGCAAGUAAAAAUGAUGGACAGCAAGUGGUUCAAAGAUGACACCUGGAAACAAAAUCUCUCCUACAGAAGAUGUACAGAAAGCACAUUUCUUCAGGAACUCUUACCCAGGAAAGCAAAUAACUAUCUGAGGUGCACGCCUGAAGUUAGAAUUAUGGCAUGUAGUGAAAAAUGAAGCGGCUCAGUGAUUUGGAUGGUGCUGGAGGAUGUGAGAAGAAACUGUGUGUGAGGGUUCUCUACAUAUCGCUUCCAAGAAGAGAAGGCUGAUGGAUAUGCUCUCUAUUCAUAUUUUGCUGAAGCCAAAUUGGAGAGAUUUGGUUGUUUAGUUAGGUGUCAGAGUAAACUGUUAUCACACAGUGUGGAAGCUUCCUAACAUACGUUAUCAUUGGUCAGAAGGAGAGAGUUGAAACAAAGAAAGCCCUUUUCACAGAUUGCUUGUUAUUUUAUGUUUCAAUUUCUGUUUUUG
rnacentral:lncRNA from 1 species